CAGUGUGACCUGGCGGAUCCAAUAAAAUUGGAACGAUAUAGAGAGAUUAGCAUGACCCCGACGCAAGGAUGACACACACAAAAAAGAAGAAGCCCCAAUAGAUACAUUUUUUU
rnacentral:snRNA from 1 species